rnacentral:rRNA from 1 species
GACGAACGCUGGCGGCGUGCUUAACACAUGCAAGUCGAGCGGCGCGGCGAACGGGUGAGUAACGCGUGAGUAACUGCCCCCCUCUCUUGGAUAACAGUUGGAAACGGCUUCUAAUACCGGAUAGUGGGGGAUGACUCGCGUCCUAUCAGCUUGUUGGUGGGGUAUUGGCCUACCAAGGCGAGGACGGGUAGCCGGCCUGAGAGGGCGACCGGCCACAGUGGGCUGAGAUACGGGCCAAACGACUACGUGAGGCAGGAGGGGGGAAUAUUGCACAAUGGGGGAAACGAGGAUGCAGGAACGCCGCGUGCGGGAGGACGGCCUUCGGGUUGGAAACCGCUUGCAGCCAUGACGCGGUAGUGGCAGAAGAAGCACCGGCUAACUACGUGCCAGCAGCCGCGGUAAUUC